rnacentral:rRNA from 1 species
GGGGAAUAUUGCACAAUGGGGGAAACCCUGAUGCAGCAACGCCGCGUGAGUGAUGAAGGCCUUCGGGUCGUAAAGCUCUUUGAUCAGGGAUGAUAAUGGCAGUACCUGAAAAACAAGCCACGGCUAACUACGUGCCAGCAGCCGCGGUAAUACGUAGGUGGCGAGCGUUGUCCGGAAUUAUUGGGCGUAAAGGAUGCGUAGGUGGAUAUUUAAGUGGGAUGUGAAAUCCCCGGGCUCAACCCGGGAACUGCAUUCCAUACUGGAUGUCUAGAGUGCAGGAGAGGAAAGUGGAAUUCCUAGUGUAGCGGUGAAAUGCGUAGAUAUUAGGAGGAACACCAGUGGCGAAGGCGACUUUCUGGACUGUAACUGACACUGAGGCAUGAAAGCGUGGGUAGCAAAC